rnacentral:rRNA from 1 species
AAUACAUCGGAACGUGCCUAGUAGUGGGGGAUAACUACUCGAAAGAGUGGCUAAUACCGCAUGAGAUCUACGGAUGAAAGCAGGGGAUCGCAAGACCUUGUGCUACUAGAGCGGCCGAUGGCAGAUUAGGUAGUUGGUGGGAUAAAAGCUUACCAAGCCGACGAUCUGUAGCUGGUCUGAGAGGACGAUCAGCCACACUGGGACUGAGACACGGCCCAGACUCCUACGGGAGGCAGCAGUGGGGAAUUUUGGACAAUGGGCGCAAGCCUGAUCCAGCAAUGCCGCGUGCAGGAUGAAGGCCUUCGGGUUGUAAACUGCUUUUGUACGGAACGAAAAGCCCUGGGUUAAUACCCUGGGGUCAUGACGGUACCGUAAGAAUAAGCACCAGCUAACUACGUGCCAGCAGCCGCGGUAAUACGUAGGGUGCGAGCGUUAAUCGGAAUUACUGGGCGUAAAGCGUGCGCAGGCGGUUUUGUAAGACAGAGGUGAAAUCCCCGGGCUCAACCUGGGAACUGCCUUUGUGACUGCAAGGCUAGAGUACGGCAGAGGGGGAUGGAAUUCCGCGUGUAGCAGUGGAAUGCGUAGAUAUGCGGAGG